UACAGAGGGCUCAAGCGUUGUUCGGAUUCAUUGGGCGUAAAGGGUGCGUAGGUGGCGCGCUAAGUCAGGUGUGAAAUUUCGGAGCUUAACUCCGAAACUGCAUUUGGUACUGGCGUGCUUGAGGACUGGAGAGGAGACUGGAAUUCAUGGUGUAGCAGUGAAAUGCGUAGAUAUCAUGAGGAAUACCAGAGGCGAAGGCGGCUACCUGGACAAUUGCUGACGCUCAGGCACGAAAGCGUGGGGAGCAAAAGGG
rnacentral:rRNA from 1 species